GAACUAAAUACUGAUAUUGCAUUUAAACACAAUGCAUAUUGCAAUACUUAUUAAUAGCAAUUAACUAUAAUAUGUAUAUGUGCAGUUUGUUAUGAAUCCAACUUCAAACUUAAAUUAUCGUACAGAUUAUGUUGACCAAAAUUAAAUCUAAUAAAUGACGGCGGUGAUUAAUUUUUGUUUCCAUAACACAUACAUAUAAUAGAAAAGACGUCAACACAUUUGACAAAAUCCGAUGAGAAUUACAAAUAUAACAUUAAACAUUUAAACUAAAUACAUGAGUUUGGGAUAGACAAGUACCGUAACACGUCUCAUAGUUGUCAUGUUUUAAUAGUUUUUGAGGACAUAAACUUGUCAAUGAUAAAUCUAAGAAAAACCAAGAGAGAAUAUUUUCCCCCUAAAAUUUCAAUGGCUAAUAUCUAGAAAACAAGCACAUUGACCUACAUAUUUUUUUGCUGUUUUGGUUCCUUUAUUAAUCUCUUAUUAAUAUAUACUAGUGUUAUGAAAAUCUUAUUAUUUUGAAACUAAGUAGCGAACUUCAUUAAAGCAACAUGCAAAGUUCAUCUUUCCCCAACUCAUUAUGUACUUAAGAGCUUGCAACUGCUAUCAGACUUUUUGUAAAAUGUCAAAAGUGUCUGAGUAGAAACUUGAACUUAUUCAUGCCGUCAUUAUCUUGUGAUGCUAUGUUAAACUUCUGUAUUCUUGUCUAAAGUUUUAGCUGCUGUACUUUGUAUAUAUGAAUUUUGGCAUUUCUUUGUAAACAUAUUCGUUUGUUACAGAGUUAUUAAGAUUAUAACACAAUACUGACUAAUGCAACCCUGUUUAUGUCAUUUUUAACUAUCAUGUGUGUAGACCAAGUACGAAAAGCACUGUAUGCUCUUUAAAAGAAGAUACAAAAUAACUCUCUCCCGAUUGAUUUACAGGUAAAAUUAUUUGAUGCAUUGGCGGUUCCUAUUCUGACCUAUUUGGAAAUAUGGGGGUUUUAAAAAUAAAGAUAAUACCGAAAAAUUACAUCUACAGUUUUGUAAGCUCAGUUUUAGGGUGGGAUCAUCUACGACAAAUAUAAUGGUGUAUGGGGAACUUUGAAGAUUGCCACGUAAACUGCAGAUUAAAUUAAAAAUGGUAUGUUUUUGGCACAAGCUAGCAAGAAAUGAUAAAAACAAAUAUCGGGUAAACUAUAUAAGUUACAUUGGUACAUGCAUGAGCAUGAAAGUUAUAAUUUUAAGUGGUUUAACCAUGUAAAAUAUGUGUUAAUGAUUGUGGCAUUUGUAACUAUAUGGAGAAAGUGGAUUACAGUUUAUUCAAAAAUGGUUCUUUGAUAUAAACAACUCUUCAAGGGGGGAUUUUAUUAACACUUAAAGAAGAGUUUUGCUUAGAAUAAUUUCUGUUAAAAUUAAGGCGGGGACAAAGAUUAAAAAUAUGGUAAUUAAGGGUAUGUAAUACAAAGUUUCCCAUCGAAACACAAAGAUGGAGAAAUGUAGCGCAAAAUGGGAGAAUUUUUCCACUUAGUAAUCCCUUCGGUCUUGGGGAUGUAUACCACUAUAUAUGUAAAUGUAUCAAUUGUGAAGUUCAGGAUUUAAGGGGGAAGUUCAUACCUCCAUAUUAUUUAAAAUACCCAAAUGUAUAAACAGUGCUAGGCAUGCUUAAAAACUGUUUUAGUAGAGUGCUGUCUAAGCUAUCAAUUUUUAUUGAAAAAGUAAUUAAGAUGCUUGUCUAAUUUAAAACUGUAAUAAACAAAGACUUAUUUCUAAAGAUGUAUAAGUCAACAAUGUAUACUCUUUGUAUUUUGAACUAUGUUGUAAUUAAUAUUGUGUAUAAUAUGCUCCUGUUAGGCAGUCAUCUGCGGCUGAGUUCUCUUAUAAUAAACUAUAAACUAUG
rnacentral:lncRNA from 1 species